rnacentral:lncRNA from 1 species
CUUGUCCCCAUCAGUCGUAGAUAAAGUAUGAUGAGUAUCCAACAUAAGAUCUGACAUAGAAUCAGUCUACAUAAUAAAAAUAAAAUUAAUAAUAUACUGUAAAACAUAAAAUAAAGAUAUAACAGAACUACAUAAAAUAUUUUACAAUCUUAAUUAUUAGACGUAAAGAUAUUGAUAUAAAGUAUACCAAAAGAUGCACAGCAGA